rnacentral:lncRNA from 1 species
GCCCAGAUUGCACGUGCACGGACGGUCCAGAUUGAAUCGCGCACGGACGGCCCAGAUUGUAUAGCAUUGAACGGCCCAAAUUCAUUUCGUAUUUAAUUGCGAUCAGAUGGUCCAGAUUGAAUUGCGAUGGACGGCUCAGAUUAAAAGCGGAUGGUUAUAAAUAAUCUUAUCCGCACCCAAACCCUAACUCUAGCCUUCAGAGCUUC